rnacentral:rRNA from 1 species
GGGGUUUGACAUGUCGAUGACGCAGGCAGAGAUGUCUGUUUCUUUCGGGACGUCGACAC